CGGGGCGUGGCGCAGCUUGGUAGCGCGGCUGGUUUGGGACCAGUAGGUCGCACGUUCGAAUCGUGUCGCCCCGACCA
rnacentral:tRNA from 1 species